GAUACACUGCAUCAAAACUAAUUGCGAACAAAAUUGUGAAUAGUUUAGUAUAAGAAGAAGCAAAUGAAAUGCAAUUUAUUAGUUUUACGAUGGUCACACAAUUAGACGAUGUUCGUUUAAUUAAACUGGUACAAUCACAUCCUAUUUUGUAUGACAGAAACCUCGCAAGGGGACCCAAAACUUCUUCCUUGAAAGAUGAUAUAUGGAAGAAGCUGUCCCUACAAUUAAAUUGCUCGGAACGCGCUUGUAUUACAAGGUGGAAAAGUAUUCGCGACCGUUUUGGAAAAGAAUUGCGCCGCGCACAAGAUAAUCCCGAGGAAGCGGUUAACUGGGACAUGUUUGAACAUUUACUCUUUUUGCGAGAGCAUUACAAACAAGGGCAAGCAAAUGGUGAGGCAAUAUUUAACAUAAAAUAUGAACCCAAAAAAAGAAAACGAGGGCGAAAGCCACGAAAAGUGUGCGAGGUAGAAUCAUUUAAGGAAGAUCGAGAUGAUGACGAUAUGGAUCCUGAAGUAUUAAUUGAAAAUCAACAAUUAAUCGAAUUAGUAAAAGAACAUCCUGUGCUAUAUGAUAAGCACAAAAUAAGGGACUCGAAAAAUUUAACACUGAAAAAUGAUGCUUGGCAUGAAAUUUCAGAGACUAUGGGAAUCUCGGAAGAGACAUGUUACAAACGUUGGAAAAAAUUACGGGACCGGUUUGCGCGAGAAUAUCGUCAUCAAAAAAUUUAUCCCGAGCGAUCGGUAACAUGGGUUUAUUUUCAGGAUUUGUCCUUCCUCGGAGAGCAUUAUAGAAAAGGGAUUCCUCUACCAGUAGAUGCUAUUAGACAAAGAAAGAAAGCGAAAAUGGCAACAACAACAAUGACCAAUGAUGAGACCUGGGUUGAAGAUUGCCCAUUUCUUUAUGUUGAAGAUGCACAUGAGCUGCAAGAUGAAGAUAUGGAUGAUAUUGACCCGGAACUUAGUGAAGUUAAUUCAAACUCAUUAGAUGAACUUAUUAUAAUGCCGAAAAGUAACGAGUCAUAUAACGAUGUUGUCAUUGAUGAGUCGAUAACACCACCAGCAAAUACCUCACAAUCAAGUUAUCAACUAUCUGAAGGAACAAAUUUAGAAGAACCGGAACAAAAACUCUCGACUGUAAUUUCUGGAAUACAACAAGUUUUAGAACAAUCUCAGGACUGUUUAAAAUCAUUACAAAAACAAAGAGAACAGCAAAUGCAUUCUAAUGUGGGUUUAUCGAUUAAUGCCGACGUCAGUAUGAUCCAAAAAGUACAUAUACUACUGGAUGGUUUGAAUUUGCCGAAUAGAACGCUGGCUGAACGUCGAAUAGUGCAAUUUCUAUGUGAAUGUCAAAUCAAGACUUUAAACAAUGUGGAUAUAGAUGAUGUGGAUUGUACACAAGAUUAUUGAUUUUAUAAAAACCUAAAAAAUAUUAAAUUAAAUGUUAGCUUUUGUGAUUAUAAAUUUACAAAAUAUAAAAUUAUGGAACAUUUGAAUUAAACAAACAUUUUAUAGUAAUGCAGUUACAAAUCCAUUUAUCAGAUAUUAUUGGACAGAUUUUUUAGAAUCAAUUAGAUAUUGGCAAGAAUGAUAACACAAGUCUAUUAAAUACAAUUUUUUUACGAUGGCGGUUUAAAAUUAUUUAACAAUAGAGUUUUGACGAACGAAAUCAUUUCAGUUACGCAGAUUCAAGAUAUUUGCAAGCAAGAGCAGAGUAAAAUAAAAUAUAUUUUUUAAAUGCCCUUUGGUAUUUGUUGUCGAUAAACAUUAAUAAAAUUUAUUUUUUUACAAUCGACUAUAAAAAAUAUCUAUUUUGUUGAACAUACUCUAAGUCAAGGCUGUCAUUGUCACCAUUAAAAAUGUGACACACACACAUCAACAAUUGUUACCUGAUUAAACACACCAUACGGUUUCUCAUUGCGGGAGCGACGAUAUUUGUGAAAAAUUAUUGAGGAUUCGCAAGUGUUUAGUAAAAUAUUAGAAAAUAAUCUAUGGAAGUAGUAUAAGCAUUUCUAAUGUAUAUCGGGCGUGCUCUCUAAUUGGAUUGUAGAAUAACCAUAUACUGAAAAGUGACCAAAAGGUAUUAAUGUCGGAGUAGGAGCCAAAAUCAAGUUGUUGGUGCAGUCGAAGUUUGCACCGAUCGUGACAACAGUCAUCAAAGUAAACGUAAUACUGUGGAGAGUUGGCGCUACUUACGCAUACGUACACAUACAUUUUUUGUGUGAUAAAAAAGCAAUUCGCCAGUGACAACCAAGUGUGAAUUGACAUCGGUUGUUGGACGGCCAACAAUCGAGACAGUUUGGAAAAAAAUCCGCAGAGGGACACAAGUUCUCAUUGGGAGAAUUUAUGUCGUGAUCGACCUGCUGUCGGUGUAAAAAUAGAACCUGCGCACCAAAAAUUAAGGACCCUCUAAUAUAUUUAAUUGGUCUACAUACUGCCCGUCAAAUAUUUUUCAACAUUAAUAGUUCUUUUAUCAAUCACCGAACGGAGAAGGAAAGUGGAGUUUUAGUUGAAGUUGUGCAUUCUGCAUUCACGCUUAUUGGUCACAAAUUUGUUUUGAGGUUAUAAAAUGAUUUUACUGGAAAUCAAUAACCGCAUC